rnacentral:rRNA from 1 species
AGUUUGAUCAUGGCUCAGAUUGAACGCUGGCGGCAGGCUUAACACAUGCAAGUCGAGCGGGGAAAAGUAGCUUGCUACUUUACCUAGCGGCGGACGGGUGAGUAAUGCUUAGGAAUCUGCCUAUUAGUGGGGGACAACAUCUCGAAAGGGAUGCUAAUACCGCAUACGUCCUACGGGAGAAAGCAGGGGACCUUCGGGCCUUGCGCUAAUAGAUGAGCCUAAGUCGGAUUAGCUAGUUGGUGGGGUAAAGGCCUACCAAGGCGACGAUCUGUAGCGGGUCUGAGAGGAUGAUCCGCCACACUGGGACUGAGACACGGCCCAGACUCCUACGGGAGGCAGCAGUGGGGAAUAUUGGACAAUGGGGGGAACCCUGAUCCAGCCAUGCCGCGUGUGAAGAAGGCCUUUUGGUUGUAAAGCACUUUAAGCGAGGAGGAGGCUACCGAGAUUAAUACUCUUGGAUAGUGGACGUUACUCGCAGAAUAAGCACCGGCUAACUCUGUGCCAGCAGCCGCGGUAAUACAGAGGGUGCAAGCGUUAAUCGGAUUUACUGGGCGUAAAGCGCGCGUAGGUGGCCAAUUAAGUCAAAUGUGAAAUCCCCGAGCUUAACUUGGGAAUUGCAUUCGAUACUGGUUGGCUAGAGUAUGGGAGAGGAUGGUAGAAUUCCAGGUGUAGCGGUGAAAUGCGUAGAGAUCUGGAGGAAUACCGAUGGCGAAGGCAGCCAUCUGGCCUAAUACUGACACUGAGGUGCGAAAGCAUGGGGAGCAAACAGGAUUAGAUACCCCGGUAGU